AUUUGUGAAGAGCUGCUGGAUAAUUC
rnacentral:piRNA from 1 species